rnacentral:lncRNA from 1 species
GUAGGUUUCAAUUGCUAGACUAAGCUAAGUAAACAAAAAUAUCACAGUAAAAAACAGUGUGCAAUAGACUCACAGCGUGUGAUUGUGGAGACUAAACUGUGCACAACAGUUAAUUUGUUUAAUUGUGGAAACAUGCGAUUUCUAUAAUAUUUCACGCCCCGUAAACUUAAUCUGCAAACGUUGUGUAAAAGCGAAGCACAUAAUUCAGUUGUUACAAUACAUAGUUUUUGGCAGUAUAUAAUUUAAUGAAACUUUUUUUAAAGCAACAAAAAGUACUUCGUGAAUUUAAGAAAAUUUUUAUGUGAUUGUUAAGUUUCUCCACCCACCCAUCCCACUAUCUUACAUCAUCUAUCCAUCCAUUCAUCCAUCCAUCCAUUCAUCCAUCCGUUCUCUUCCACUUAUCCAAUUCAGGAUUCCAAGAGUCUAUCCUAGCUACCAUGGGGCUAGAGGGUGUUUAUUAAUGCAAAUUGGACAUGUGUACAGCAUGGUGUAUUUUUUUUAAUAAAAUGUACUUCAUUGAACAGACAAGUGUGAAUAUAUUACAUGCAGAAAUGUUUACUUUGCCUUUAUCCUCUAUUAGGUUUCCAGCACAGCUAAGCAGGUCACAUUCUGUGGCUCAGUCAUUAACCAAAGAAGUGAUUCUCUUGCAGGACCAUCUAACUGCACAUGUGCCAAGGCGUAACAAAAAAGCUUGGCUUUUUGAAAAUGGACAUAUAAAAUCUGCACUGGAGUUUAGCUGUGAUUGGGACUCAGACAAAGUAAUGCAGGCAAUAAGGACUGCCUUCCAGCAAGUUGUUGAAGGAUGCAGGCUACAGAUUUUGCUGGCAUGCCACACCAAACUAGUUGAGCCAUCACUCACUUCCAAACAGACUUUGAAUGGAGACCUUGUAAGAAAAAACUGUGUCAUCAGAAGUGAAUUUAUGUCAGACCUGACAAGGUUUUUUUUUUUUUUACGUGAGGACAAUGAAUCAUUGAAAGUGAUGUCUCUUUGGAACAUAUUCUUGUUUUCUGCACUGGAUGUGACAGCAUUCCAGCCCUGGGUUUUCUCCAAAGCCAAGCCUUGAGUUCAUCACUAACUGCAGAUUUCCAGUGACCAAUACUUGUGAAAAUAUCCUUUGUAUCCCAGUUCAUGUAGUGUACACUACUUUCAAAUCAGACAUGGAUUUUGCAAUACAGAAUUCACCAGGAUUUGGAAGAGCAU